CAUCUGCUUAACCCCGUUUCUUAGUUUUAUUAGAAUUAAAAAAAAAGGAAAAUAGCAAAUAGGUUAAGCAACGUUUCUUAAACAAGCUACGAAAGAUACGACUCUUGUUCAUGACUCUCUCUCUCUCUCUCUUGGAUCAAAGACUUCUUCUCAAACAAACAUUCCUCUUCUUCAAAUCCAAUCUCCGAUGACGAGGAGUCACCGGCUGUUACCGCAGAGUUCUGCCGAUUAUGCAUCCGCCGGAUCCGGAUCUUUCGCCGCCGGAAACCUUCAUCGAUCCGCUGCUCGUCUGGCAACGAGGACGCUGCUCCUUCGCCAUCGGUGGUGAUGGACUCCGACUUCGACGCCAAGACGUUCCGCAAGAACUUGACGAGAAGCAUAACUACAAUCGCAAAGGGUUUGGUCACAAAGAGGAGACUCUCAAGCUCAUGAAGUGGUGAUGCCAGUGACGGCGAAGAAGGAGAAGGAAUUGGGUCGGCCAAAUGAGAUAGCUUACCAGAAGGAAGCAGCGAAUUGGGUGAAUCUGAUUGGGUUCGUGGAUCUGCUUUCUGGAUUCCGAUAACGUUUGAAGGUGAUUGUAUUGAAAGACAUGCGAAGCUUUGUAGCUUCUGGACAGACUCUUUCAUGUUUUUUUUACUAUGUUACCUCAGUUUUUUUUGUAACUUACGGUGGUUUUGCUCACAACAGUGUUGGUACAGAAUCUUAGCUUUGUGCAGCAGACUGCCUUGACGGAUGAUCAGUUGAUCAGUUGCAAGCAACUGAAGCUAGUGAGAAACUUCUUAUUUUUUUAAAAUCAGGUUAUAUGGGUUCCUGGCAGCUUUGAGAUAGGUGUUGCUGCACAAAAGCUUGGGAAUUCAGGAAAGUUUCAUGCCGUUUUAUGUAUCGGUGCUAUGAUAAGAGGAGGUACUACUCAUUAUGAUGACGUUGCCAACUCUGCUGCAUCUGUAGUACUUUCUGUUGGCAUUAAUUCAGAGCCCAUUCCAGCGAAUCCUUUCGCGAAACAACAAUAUCUUCUCAAUAUGAACAUGAAGAAUCUCAUAAAGAACAUUGCUCAGAGAAAGAACCGAUUUUCUCUAUGUUAUGCUUGUUAUAUGUUUUAUGAAUGUAAGACCUUUAAGUUUAUUUAUGAAUGUAGACAAAAGAUAGGUGAAAUAAGUAGAGAAAACAACUAAGAUACAUGAUAGAUUGUCAUGGAAUUGUAUUACAAGCUGGAAAUGAGAAAGCAGCUAAGAUACAAAAUAUAAAGCUGAAUUGAAAAGAGUUUAUACUGAGCCAUCUUGACAUUAAGUAGAGAAACCAAAUCUGCCUUGAAAAAAUCUUGGUUGGGAAGCUUGAGUAGAUCCAUCUUGUGAAAAAACAUCCCCAGUGAUUCUUCCUACAAUGUUCUUUCUCCUUGAUAGAAUGUCAUACUCUCUGCUUCUUCUGCGUCUGAGUCCGAUAACGGGUUUAGAAUAACAUCAUCGUCCCACAUAUCAACUCCACUCUUUUCAUCUGAUUUCUCAUUAACAUCUUCACUAGCAACAUCUCCAAAUGGUCUUCUAAGUUCUCACAUACUCUCACAUUAACCAAUUCAGGCUCAUUCUUGGUUUCUCCAUCAUCCAUAUAUAUUGUCUAUUUGCAUCCAAGUGUAUCUUCGACCACAACUUCACAAUCAUCUCCCUCAAGACUUUCACUAUUUUCAGAUUCCAUAAUCUCUUCUUCAUUCUCGCCUUCUUGACCACCAGAUGCAACAUCUUGUAUAUGAAUUGGCCUAUGACGAACAUAUUCGAAUUUAAAAUCUCAAGUAAAACCAAAAAGAAGCUUCAAACUCACAUAAAAUCAAUACCUUUCUAUUUCAUGUUCAGUUACAGGUUUUGUCAUGGGGUUUUGAUGCGGGUUGUUCUUCGUUUACAGGUUCUUCGUCGACUCGUGGCUUCUUCUGAGAUGGAGGCCUUCGAACUGGUAGCUUGUCUCUUGGGGUCCCUUUGUCUCUCAUCAUUCUCUUCAUCGCUCUCUUAAUCAAUUUAGGGUUUAUGUUCUUUGAUUUGGGGAAAAUAAGAGAGAAAGGAGAGCCACCAAAUUAGAUUAAUGUCUCCGUUUAAUGUUAAAGGUGGAGGACUUUUGGGAGUUCAAUUUUGAAAAGUCAAUAUAGAGUUGAGGAAUUAUUUUGCUUACACAAUAGUCAGAGAAUUAAACUGUCAAUUUCAAAUACUUGGGGAAUUAAAUGAUCAUUUUCCCUCUUAAAGAGUGGGGUUAAUUUUUAUAAUUUUUAAAAA